rnacentral:rRNA from 1 species
CCUACGGUAGGCAGCAGUGAGGAAUAUUGGUCAAUGGACGCAAGUCUGAACCAGCCAUGCCGCGUGCAGGAAGACGGCUCUAUGAGUUGUAAACUGCUUUUGUACGAGGGUAAACGCAGAUACGCGUAUCUGUCUGAAAGUAUCGUACGAAUAAGGAUCGGCUAACUCCGUGCCAGCAGCCGCGGUAAUACGGAGGAUUCAAGCGUUAUCCGGCUUUAUUGGGUUUAACGGGUGCGUAGGCGGUCGGAUAAGUUAGAGGUGAAAUCCCGAGGCUCAACUUCGGAAUUGCCUCUAAUACUGUUCGGCUAGAGAGUAGUUGUGGUAGGCGGAAUGUAUGGUGUAGCGGUGAAAUGCUUAGAGAUCAUACAGAACACCGAUUGCGAAGGCAGCUUACCAAGCUACUUCUGACGUUGAGGCACGAAAGCGUGGGGAGCAAACAGGAUUAGAUACCCGUGUAGUC